rnacentral:lncRNA from 1 species
UUUCUACGUAAGAUGGAAUCUGACUCUUUUCCCCAAUUCUCUCUUUUUCUAAUAAACAUAUUUCUCCCAUUAGGCUCUCCCUAUACUACCCUUAACUUAACCUAGUAAUUACCAUAUUUCCCUCAAAAUCACUACACUCCCCAUUUUUCUUAUUAUUUUCUUAUUCCAAAAUUUAUUUACUCAAUUAAUUAAAUAAACUCCUAUUUUCAUUAUUUAAUAUAAUUGAAAUAGCUAAAUAUUAUUUUUAAUUACUAAAAUAACUCUAAAUUAUUC